UCCUCAAGCGUUUUGGUGAAUGGUCCUCUU
rnacentral:piRNA from 1 species